GAUCUCAAAACUCUUCUGCGAAGGACUCAGUAAAAAACAGCUGAUUCAAAGGGGUGUAGCGGAUCUCAAAACUCUUCUGCGAAGGACUCAGUAAAAAACAGCUGAUUCAAAGGGGUGUAGCGGAUCUCAAAACUCUUCUGCGAAGGACUCAG